CGGGGUGUAGCUCAGUUUGGCUAGAGUACUUGCUUGGGGUGCAAGGGGUCGUCGGUUCAAGUCCGGUCACUCCGA
rnacentral:tRNA from 3 species